rnacentral:lncRNA from 1 species
CCGGGUUAGCCCAUUCUUGAAACUGGUAUUCUCCUUUUCUGACCCCAUCUCCCUGCAGGCCCACUGCAGGAUGCCAUCGCUGUGGUUCACAUUACUCUGCUGAAAACCAGGGGACAGAGUGCAGAUGCUCUCCAUCAGAUCAGCGCGGAAGGAAGCCGGACCUGCCGGGACUCCCACAGCCGCAGUUUGGAUGACGUCCGUCUUGGCCGGUGCCAGGGCCAACUCUCGCCCCCGGGCCCCGCCCUGACCUCCCCCGCCUCCCACAGCUACACCUUCGGCUGUGUCCCAGAGGACAAAGCACUUGCCUCCAGCCCUGCCCACCAACUGGCUGGGGAUGGGACCCAGGGGGACCUGUACAGGAGGAGGUCUGGCCACUGCAUGUCCCUGAGCCUCCUGGGGGAUGACCAGCUCCCGGAGGAAUUUGCCGUGUAGGCAGGGAGAUGCUGGGGCCACCUCCUACUCUGUGCUGGCGUCCCUCUCCCUUCCGCUCCCCGCCCCAUGUGGAUCCCACCAGGGCCCUGACGGACCCUACCCCAUCUCCGGCCCGGUCACCUGCCUCCAGUCACUUUAGUGUGUGACACGGCCGGCGGGCCAUUCCAGAGAGUUUGGUGGCUGGCAGGUUCAUGUUCGGGUGUCGCCUGUCACACCUGAGUGGGAUGGGAAGACCCCAUUAGCCCAGACUCGCUUGUCUGCUGCCUGAGUUUCUGCAUCUUCUACUGGGAUAACCAGCCGGUUUCCGGCUGCUGAGCUGGAUAUGGGGAAGAAUCCCAGGAAUCCCUUCCGGGUGCACCUCUCAGGAAGAUGGUGCAAUGUGUUGGGGUGAUGAUGCGGGUGGGAGGCCAGAUUGGUGCUCGAUAUUGACCUCUCCCCCACCCCCCCGCAAGAACUCUAGACCCCAUCCUGCCUGUUUUGGAGGGGGGUGGAGUUGCCCUUUUUGUAACAUGCCCAGUUCUGCCAUUCUGGAACAGGGGGUCAUAGGGUACCAUUCCUAGCAGUAUGUCUUCAGAAUCUGGGGCUCGGGCGGCCAGCUGAGAUGCCCCCUCGGUCCUGAGAGCAGAGUGGUCUCCGGGGAGGCA